rnacentral:rRNA from 1 species
AGAGUUUGAUCCUGGCUCAGAUUGAACUUUGGCGGCAGGCCUAACACAUGCAAGUCGAACGGUAACAGGAAGAAGCUUGCUUCUUUGCUGACGAGUGGCGGACGGGCGAGUAAUGUCUGGGAAACUGCCUGAUGGAGGGGGAUAACUACUGGAAACGGUAGCUAAUACCGCAUAACGUCGCAAGACCAAAGAGGGGGACCUUCGGGCCUCUUGCCAUCGGAUGUGCCCAGAUGGGAUUAGCUAGUAGGUGGGGUAACGGCUCACCUAGGCGACGAUCCCUAGCUGGUCUGAGAGGAUGACCAGCCACACUGGAACUGAGACACGGUCCAGACUCCUACGGGAGGCAGCAGUGGGGAAUAUUGCACAAUGGGCGCAAGCCUGAUGCAGCCAUGCCGCGUGUAUGAAGAAGGCCUUCGGGUUGUAAAGUACUUUCAGCGGGGAGGAAGGGAGUAAAGUUAAUACCUUUGCUCAUUGACGUUACCCGCAGAAGAAGCACCGGCUAACUCCGUGCCAGCAGCCGCGGUAAUACGGAGGGUGCAAGCGUUAAUCGGAAUUACUGGGCGUAAAGCGCACGCAGGCGGUUUGUUAAGUCAGAUGUGAAAUCCCCGGGCUCAACCUGGGAACUGCAUCUGAUACUGGCAAGCUUGAGUCUCGUAGAGGGGGGUAGAAUUCCAGGUGUAGCGGUGAAAUGCGUAGAGAUCUGGAGGAAUACCGGUGGCGAAGGCGGCCCCCUGGACGAAGACUGACGCUCAGGUGCGAAAGCGUGGGGAGCAAACAGGAUUAGAUACCUUGGUAGUCCACGCCGUAAAACGAUGUCGACUUGGAGGUUGUGCCCUUGAGGCGUGGCUUCCGGAGCUAACGCGUUAAGUCGACCGCCUGGGGAGUACGGCCGCAAGGUUAAAACUCAAAUGAAUUGACGGGGGCCCGCACAAGCGGUGGAGCAUGUGGUUUAAUUCGAUGCAACGCGAAGAACCUUACCUGGUCUUGACAUCCACGGAAGUUUUCAGAGAUGAGAAUGUGCCUUCGGGAACCGUGAGACAGGUGCUGCAUGGCUGUCGUCAGCUCGUGUUGUGAAAUGUUGGGUUAAGUCCCGCAACGAGCGCAACCCUUAUCCUUUGUUGCCAGCGGUCCGGCCGGGAACUCAAAGGAGACUGCCAGUGAUAAACUGGAGGAAGGUGGGGAUGACGUCAAGUCAUCAUGGCCCUUACGACCAGGGCUACACACGUGCUACAAUGGCGCAUACAAAGAGAAGCGACCUCGCGAGAGCAAGCGGACCUCAUAAAGUGCGUCGUAGUCCGGAUUGGAGUCUGCAACUCGACUCCAUGAAGUCGGAAUCGCUAGUAAUCGUGGAUCAGAAUGCCACGGUGAAUACGUUCCCGGGCCUUGCACACACCGCCCGUCA